GGACCCAGGGGCCGGCAACGCCGUCGCGGUCCGCCCUGUCCCUCACUCCCCGAAGUGUUCGGGCCCACGAAACCUCCCGCCAGGGGCUGGCGCUCAGCAAGGCCACACGGAGGGGGCGGGCCUAGGAACGCGGGGGACCCCGAACAUGGCCACCCGGCCGACUACAGAGCGGGCCGAGAAAGCCUCCUCCUCCACCCACUUCCGGAAUUUGAAACGGGUUUCCGGAAGCCCGGACGGCGUCCCCAUGACAACCGGCGUUGGGGCUCGGAGGUGAGCGUGCUUGAGGACCGUAGAGCGAGUGCACAGACGUCGGCGCUCGUUAUUGUCUUUGCUUUGGUUCUGGCUUCUCGCCGGGGCAGCCCCGUUUUUAAAGCGGAUUCGGACGGUGCGGGGACGCGCCCUGGGACGAAGGCCGCGCGGCAGGUGGCGGUGGACGGACCGUGGAGGCCGCUUCGUGACCCGCGAAUCGCGCCGCCCUGAGCCGAUCGCUGCUCCUCCCCGCGGGGGUGGCGGCGGCGGGACUGACGGCGGAGCGCCCCACACAGCCCCGGGGUGCGUCCCGGCUCCACGCCCCUGCCCCCCGCCGAGGACCUAAGCCCGACCCUGCGCCCUGGGCCGGAGGGCGGGUCACUCUCCCACCUCGCGGAGGAGCUGCGGGGUUGGAGGACGUGGCCUUGGCUGGCUCUUGUCUUGAGUAAAAGGAACAGCGCUGGUCUUCUUUCUGGGGACCUGGGAUGUGCCCUCGGGGCCGGACCGCAGAGGAAGAUGCUGCAGGCCAGCGGCUACAGCCUCGUGCUCUCCCUGCAGCUCCUGCUGCUGACCUAUGACCUCUUCGUCAAUUCCUUCUCCGAGCUGCUCCGCUCGGCACCUGUCAUCCAGCUGGUGCUCUUCAUCAUCCAGGACAUCGCGAUCCUCUUCAACAUCAUCGUCAUCUUCCUCCUGUUCUUCAACACGUUCGUCUUCCAGGCCGGCCUGGUCAGCCUCCUGUUCCACAAGUUCAAAGGCACCAUCGUGCUGACCGCGGUGUACUUCGCCCUCAGCAUCGCCCUGCACGUCUGGGUCAUGAACUUACGCUGGAAAGACUCGAACCGCUUUGUCUGGACAGAUGGACUUCAAACGCUGUUUGUGUUCCAGAGGCUAGCCGCGGUGUUCUACUGUUACUUCUACAAACGCACCGCCGUGAGACUGGGCGACCCCCGCCUCUACCAGGACUCCGUGUGGCUGCGCAAGGAGUUCACGCAAGUCCGAAGGUGACUGUCCCUCUGAUGGGUGCCUCUCCGGCCUGUCGGGCCACGUGUGCUCUGCGAGGGGGACGUCGGCCCCGGGACGCAGCCAACAGGCUCAGGAAAGAAAUUGAAGUCUUUCCAGAAGGGGUGGCGUCCGUCGGGCUAGAUCGCUUCCCCGCCUGGUAGGAGGCAUGCCAAGUCCCAGCCUCGCCCCGUGGGCAGAUGGAGCCACAGAGCGCACACAGAUAAUACAAUUUAUCGAGUCCCAUUACGCAUACAGGAUAUUUUUACAGAAAUUCAAAAUGUAACCUGAUGCCCCACCCAGCCCCACCCCUGAGUUCAGACUUCUGUGCUUUAUUCAGACUCGGCCCCCGUUCGGAUCCCCAAACUGCCCUCCGCAGAGGAGAACUGUUCCUUAGCCUGUGUGGGCAAAAGACGUUUUUAAGUCCGUGUGUCCGGAGUCUCGGUGUCUUUGCCAGAACAACGUGCGAGGAGCCGCCACCAGAUUCAGCGGCAUAUGACCACUAACGGUCACGGGCUCUCGAGUCGGGUUCCGGCGAUCUGGCUGAGUCUGGGUCAUUUCUGCGGGGCUUGCUCAUGAGUCUGGUCAGCUGUGGGUCAGCCGGGCAGCCGUGACGGUCCUGGGACCCGUGGCUCUUGGCUCACCCAGGCUGGCCUCCGCUGGAAUGACUGGGCUGUUCAGCUCAGGCUCACAUGACCCAUCCAUGACUAGCCGAGGUCUGUUCACGUGACAGUGGCCAAGGAGCAGAACAAGCCCCAGUGAGCAAUUCCAUAUCAAGCCUCCGCUUGUGUCCUGGCUCUUGGACUCGCUUUGGUCAAAGCAGGUCACGUGACGGUGCCAAGUCAGUGGGAAAGCCAAGCACAGGUUUCCUGGCACAGGCAUGGCUGCAGAAGGGCCGUGCGCCCAGUCCACCUCGCCAGGAAGUCGCUCUGUGAACUUUUCUUCACGGGCACGUGGCACAGUUCCCCACGGAUCAAGCAGACGCUCCUUGUGAAGGACCAGGCAGUGGACAGUUAGAUUUCGAGGUCCCCCGGUCUGUUGCAGCGACUCGGCAUUCUAGCGUGAAAGCCGCCGCCGCUGAUCCGGGAAGGGGUGAGCGCAGCUGUGCUCCAGUAACACCGCGUUAGGACACUCGGAUUUGAAGUUCAUGUUUUCCUGUGGCAUAACAUUUUUUUUCAACGAUGUAAAAAGGUCAUUCUAUUCUUAGCUUGAGGAUGCAAAGCAAGCUAACCCCAGCUCAGGAACUAGGCUAGAUUUGCCCUGGCCAUAGUGAGCUGACCCCUGGUGUGGAAGCCUGGAGUAAAGUUGUGAGGAAGCCCAUCGGUAAUAAUCUGCUGUGCUGUCAAGAUGUUAUUCAAAAAGAAAAGGCACGCCCGGACCAUGUGGCUCAGUGGUUGGUGCUGUCCCAUGCACCCAGAAGCCAUCAGCUCGAUUCCCGGUCAGGGCACUGGUCCAGAUCCGGGCUCCAUCCCGAGUAGGGGGCGUGCAAGGCAGCUGACCCAUAUUUCUCCCUCUCCUUUCCUCUCUAAAAUCAAAACAUUUUUUUUAAAAAGGUACAAUGCCCAAAUACAUCAUCUAAGAUCCAUAUCCUAUAAUCAGAAAAAGUGAUCUAAAAAGUCCUAACAAAGCCGUCAUCUAUACCUACUAUCCCUUCAUCGGUUCAAAAAUAAUUACUAGCCUGAUCUUUUCAUAAAGGGUCCUGCAGAAGUGUAAUCCCUUAGCUCACGGGUAGCCCGAAAGGCAGUUUUCUGUGCCUCCGAGUCAGGGCUGGGUUCUCUUCUGUCUUGAAGCCACGAGUGCGACCAAAUGCCUGCUUCCUCACAGCCCUCACGGCCCUUCCUGGCCUGGGAGUCCGAGCUGUGCGGUUCCCUUCAUCGCCCAGGCAGCGGGCGGCAGCCAGGACUCAGGCCAGCGGAGCCCCCGGCCUCACCGCCGAGGGACUGGAACCGGCGGAGCCUUCAGCCCCUACACCCACAGCACACAGUCCCGUGAAGAGUUCUGAGCUCAUCUUCCCCGGCUGCAGCUCAGCCGGGUUUCUGCCCCUCCCCGCCUUGACAACCUGAUUUAUGUCCUCCUUAUAGACCAUGUAAUAUUUUAGGAACUUUUUUACAAAAUAAGUUGCCAUAAUCCUACCCCACUCAUUUAUUUCAAAUCCUCAAAUACAGUCGGUCCUCCAUAUUCAUGGUUCCGCACCCACAGUUUCAAUCGACGGCAGGUGAAAAAUA